GCUGUAUUAUCCUAAACCUACAAAAUAGCCAGUUAUUUUACCAGCAAAAUGGGUUUAUUUGGGAGCAGCAAGGAAUUGCAACUCAGGACAUGCAACUAUGGUGAACUACUUGCUAAUCCUGGGAAAGUAAGGGAGAGGAAACUCUUUGAUCGAGGGGAAGGGGGAGCUGGGAGGGGCUGUUAUAAACAAAAAAGUCCAUUAGAAGAAACUGCAAAUGCCUGUAGUAUAGUGGCUUUUCAUUGGCUGUCUUGUGACCGUCUCUCAUUGGCUGAGCUGUUGCCAGGCAAGGAGAAAAUCUUUGUUCCUCCUGCUAGUUAGUGAGCUUGUGUCACUUCUUGCCAGAGAUGCAAGGUACCUCUCUUCCCCUUCGGGAUCUGUACGGACAUCUAAAAGUACACGCCUGACGGCGCUCCCGCCGGCCUCCCAUCUGCAUUUUAGUGAGGUUUCCCUUUAUGAAUCUUCACAGCUGCUUGGGAAGAACCAGCAAACAGGGAGACCACGGCCCAGGCCGCAGCCCCCUUGGGACAGCAGCGCUGAGGGCGCUCGAGGGCAGCUCCAGCCUGGGCCCUUCCAGAAGGAUCCUCCCCAUCUCCGUCUACAUCUACGCCCAGGGAGGUCAAAGGCAUCAGGAGAGGUGCAUGGGCCAAGGAGCCCCAGGACCACAGGUACGCUGCUGGCCCCGCCCAGGUCCGGGCUCCCCAAGGCCUCACUGUGACCUCACUCACUCACGGGGGAAGAGGUCAGAGCCAGGGAGUCCCCUCCAAGUUCCCCUCGAGCCACCCAGGCCGAAUCCAGGGGCUGCCCAGAGGAGGGGUUGGCAGCAGGUCCAGAAACUGAGAUGACGGAGGCCAGGAUUCCAGGAAGGGGACACAUGAGGACAGGCUUCCUGGUUUCCAGCGGGGAGAGGCCAUGAGGCCAUCCCCCUCAGCAGGUGGGGCUUGGGGUGGGGGGGCACCGUGACCCUUCACUUCCCUGCUGGCCCACCCUCUGUCCGGCAGACACACGUCUCUUUUCCUUGACCACGGGCGGGGGCUGCCCCCUGGACUGGGCCCCGUUCCUUGAUCCUGUGUGGGAGGCUCUGGUGAGAAAGAGAGCUGGUAACGGGGGGUGGGGGUGAGGGGACACAUCAGAGAUUGGGGGCGCGGCGCGGGGACUCCAACUUGCAGAGGGAGGGGUGGACACUCAACAAAGACCUGGGUCCUGUUGUUUUAAAUAAGAAAUUUAUUGCAAAUAUAGAAAUUGAUUCUCUCCAUACAGGAAUCUCCAAGUUGAGGAAAACAAUUUCGUGCCAUUCAGUUUAAAAUAGGAAAUUGGGAGGGAGAGGCAGAUACAGGGAAGAGAAAAUAAAUGAAGUCACCCCCCCCA
rnacentral:lncRNA from 1 species